CUCUUUCCAUAUUUGCUGUCUCACAGGUCUGAAGCAGCAAGGCCCAAUGACUGCACAGCAAAAGAAGCCGCUAUCAGGAGCCCAGUUCCUGCUUAAUGCUGCAGGGGCCCAGCCCAUCAGAACUCAUCUUUCCAAGCCACUGGAUAUUGGUUAAGCUGUUGUCCAGUGUGCAGCCGGCCGCUUCACCACCUGCUAGAGGGAAAACAACCCAAGACUCCAUUAGCAGCCUCUUCAGAUGCACUACAGCUCUACCAAAACCAACGGUUGGGGAUAACCCCUCUGAGACCUGUUCUAAGGGACAGGGAACACAUGGUAAAUCGUUGUGGCUCUAAGUUAUUCUGCUCCAUUAUGGACUUCAGUAGACAUUCAUGAACAAUAAAUUGUAUUUCAAUGAGACAGAUGGAACCUCAGGCAUCUGUCAAGGCAAA